AUUGAACGCUGGCGGCAGGCCUAACACAUGCAAGUCGAGCGAGCGGCGGACGGGUGAGUAAUAUGUGGGGACUGCCCGAUAGAGGGGGGUAACCUUCGGAAACGCUGGCUAAUACCGCAUACUGUCGGAUUUACCAUAUGGGAUUAGCUAGUAGGUAAGGUAAUGGCUUACCUAGGCGACGAUCCCUAGCUGGUCUGAGAGGAUGAUCAGCCACACUGGGACUGAGACACGGUCCAGACUCCUACGGAGGCAGCAGUGGGGAAUAUUGCACAAUGGGCGCAAGCCUGAUGCAGCCAUGCCGCGUGUAUGAAGAAGGCCCUAGGGUUGUAAAGUACUUUCAGUCGGGAGGCGUUACCGACAGAAGAAGCACCGGCUAACUCCGUGCCAGCAGCCGCGGUAAUAC
rnacentral:rRNA from 1 species